rnacentral:rRNA from 1 species
GAAGGUGUAUCUAGAAAGACAAAUUGGAGCUUGAAAAGUAAAGCAUUUCAUUUACAUUGAAAAGUAUAUUGUGUAAUUCAAUUUAAUUUGAUGAUAGUAAAAAUUUAUUAAUUUUUUUUUGUUUAAAAAUUUAUUUAAUAAAAUUAAUUUUAAAUUAAUUUUUUUUUUGUAUAAUAUAUAGAUCAAAUAAUUUAUAUAAUAGUUAAUUAGUAUUGUAAAAGAAUAUUGAAAUAUAUGAAAAGAUUUUAAGUUAAAAGUAAAUUUUAUAUAUUGUACCUUGUGUAUCAGGGUUUAUUAAUUAAAAGUUGAAAAUUUAAUUUUUCUCGAAUUUAAGAGAGUUAGUUUAUUAUUUAAUUUUUUGUUUCAUAAAAAUUUAAAAUAAUAAAUUAGAAAUGAAAUGUUAUUCGUUCUUAAAUAUAUCUAGUUUUUUAAGAAAUAAAUUAAAUUUAGAUUAUUAAUAGAUAAUUAUUUAUUUAAAUAAUAAAUUAUUAUUAAUAAUUAAUAUUUUAAGGGAUAAGCUUUAAAGUAAGUUUUAUAAUAAUUUUUUAAUUUAAAAAUUAUAGGUUUAGAAAUAGUCAUUAAUUAUAAAAAUGUUAUAAUUUAUUUUAAAUUAAAAAUAAUUUUUAUUAAUUUAAAUUUUUAUUAAAAUAAUUUUUAAAAUUAUAUAAGAAUUAAAAUAAUGAUAAAAUUAGUAUAUUUAAUUGUUUUAAAUAAAUAAGUUGAAAGGUUAAAUUAAGGAACUUGGCAAAUAAAUACUCGCCUGUUUAACAAAAACAUGUCUUUUUGAAUAUAAUUUAAAGUCUAAUCUGCCCACUGAAAAAUUUUAAAGGGCCGCGGUAUU